UACAGAGGGUGCGAGCGUUAAUCGGAAUUACUGGGCGUAAAGCGCACGUAGGUGGCGACGUAAGUCGGGUGUGAAAGCCCCGGGCUCAACCUGGGAAUUGCAUUCGAGACUGCAUUGCUGGAGUACGGAAGAGGAGGGCGGAAUUCCCGGUGUAGCGGUGAAAUGCGUAGAUAUCGGAAGGAACAUCAGUGGCGAAGGCGACUUCCUGGACCAAUACUGACGCUCAGGUGCGAAAGCGUGGGGAGCAAACAGG
rnacentral:rRNA from 1 species